rnacentral:rRNA from 1 species
ACUUGCCUACGGGGCGCAGCAGUGGGGGAUAUUGCACAAUGGGGGAAACCCUGAUGCAGCGACGCCGCGUGAGCGAUGAAGGCCUUCGGGUCGUAAAGCUCUGUCCUCAAGGAAGAUAAUGACGGUACUUGAGGAGGAAGCCCCGGCUAACUACGUGCCAGCAGCCGCGGUAAUACGUAGGGGGCUAGCGUUAUCCGGAAUUACUGGGCGUAAAGGGUGCGUAGGUGGUUUCUUAAGUCAGAGGUGAAAGGCUACGGCUCAACCGUAGUAAGCCUUUGAAACUGGGGAACUUGAGUGCAGGAGAG